rnacentral:lncRNA from 1 species
GCUACUCGUCACGACCGCGGUGCCUCCCUGUGCUUUCUGUUUACAUCUGGCGCAAAAAGGAAGCUAGUGCUGCGGUGUACACGCUGUGGAAGGGACUUCUGCCCUGUUUUCCCUUGAGGCUUUUAGGGAGGAUUUCCCACCGCGGGCUCCCUGUGGAGUUUGCCACGUCCCUCCCGUUGGUGUUCCCUGAACGGCGGGGGGAGGCUGAGGUUGAACACGAGGAUCCCGGUCCAGCCCACCGUUAUUCCCUGCCAGCUUUGCCCAGGAUUUCUUUCAGCUUGUCAGAACUGGUCCUUCAGUGCUAUUCCAGACAAGGAUGUAAUUCUUCCCAGCAUAUAACAGAUGACAGUGUGGUUUACAGUUUCACUUACCAGGUGCCACGCAAGCAAGCAUGGGACUCCAGAUGGUGCAGCCCAUAGAAGAGGGGUUUGCUCUGGGAUGCUCCCCGGGAGCUAACAAACCCCAGUGCACCACAGCCGGAGCCACGACACUGUGGGGUGGCUGUAGCCUAGGAGCACACCCUCUAACGACCCCAUGAUGGACAAGACCAGAUAAAGGAGAAGUGACACCGCAGACCCACACCAUAAACAUCUAGGUGCUCUGGAGCUGUUCCCCUCAGAAGGAUCUGUUGAUCGGCGUAUUGUUACCCACUGAGCAGUAUUGAGGGCUGAGCCCGAGGUUACCUGUUGAUACGCACGCUGUUACUGACUAGAGCCACGCAGCUUUUGUGUAGCUGUGGGCUGAUAUUGUUUUGACUGGACAUAAGAGACAGUAAGCCACAUAAGUUUGUUGUGGACUUGGACCCAUGGUCAGCUGGCCUGCGGACCCGAGGACCCACCCAUCACCCGGGACGCCCCUGAUGUCAUCGGCGCGGUGAGGAGAAACCGGGGAAAAUGAGACUGGAAGGGUGGCCCAUAAGGGGUGAGA